AGAGUGAUGCUACAUGCUUUCACAGAUAUGUGAUUUCAUUCACAAGGAAAAGAACCAAGGCUGGGACCUCCAGAAGCACCCUCAUUCAAAACCAGAAACUCCAUCCCUUUUGCUACCUUUGUCUAAAAUGCUACUAAGGCGGCAUUUCUAAGAAGUGCAGACCAUAAGUGUAACGGGUGAAAGUAAGAUGGCCAUCAGCACCAUCUGUUGACUUUGAACUUCAAAUCUUGCAAAAUUAAUUCAUUCCAGGAUAUAAACCAAUUUGAGGAGACACAGAGUUAAAUAAUUUACUAGAGGAAAACACUGUUAUUUUUCUUUUUCUUUUUUUUUCUUUUUUUUUUUUUUUCGGUCUUUCUAGGGCUGCACCUGCAACCUACACCAGGGCGGCAUAUGGAGGUUCCCAGGCUAGGGGUCUAAUCGGAGCUGUAGACGCUGGCCUACGCCAGAGCCACAGCAACGCCAGAUCCAAGCAGCAUCUGCAACCUACCUCAGCUCACGGUAACACCGGAUUCUUAACCCACUGAGUAAGGCCAGGGAUGGAAUCGAAACCUCAUGGUUCUUAGUCGGACUCGUUAACCACUGAGCCAUAACGGGAACUCCUGUUAUUUUUCUGUUUCUAAAUUUCCUACCAAAUUAUUAAGACUCUCAAAGAUGUUUCUCUCAUCAUGUAAGUUUUUUUCAUUUGCUAGUCCUAAUCCUAAAACGACAGGUGAAAUUUUAAUAUUGGCUAUUCCUCUAACACAGAGGAAAAUUAGAUAAUUACUAAAUACAUCAUUUCAACCUAAACGUAGGUAGCUUUUUAAACCAAGUAAUUACACUUUCAAUACCCAGGAGUCAGAGUAGAUUGAUGUUUUGGCUCGAGCAAUAUAUGCUCAUACUUUUUCAAAAAUAACUCUAUUUUUUUAGAAAUCUAACAUAUGGCAAAUGCAUUUAAGCAACAAUUUUCCUUCCGUAAUGAUGUUAGCAAUUUGCAAAGAUGAAGUGGAAGCUAGGACUGUGGGCAGGGUAUACAUAAAUUUGAAACAAGUACCUGCCUGAUCUGUUUGGAAAAUGACUAACCCCUCAAGACUGAAGCUCCAUGCAUUCCAUGUGGGUAAAACAGGAGUUGAAAGUGUCCAUACGGUCCUAAAAAAGUGUACUUCAGAUGCAAAGUUUUUUUUAAUCCCUAACCAUAAGAAUCAAAGAGAAAUUAUUGAUCAAAGUUGUAUUUACAAGGUUAUCUGAGAUAUUACUGUUAUCAAACAGUAACCCCUCAUUGGAAUCACAAAUCAUCAAAAUCAGAAAGGCCCCUAGGGGUUAAUUUAGUCAAAGUCUCUCUUUUACAGGGGAGGAAAUCAGAUGAGGAAACUAAGGCCUGGAGCUUUGGAAUAAAUUGCUACAAAUCUAUGUCAGAAAUGGCAGAGGUUAACCCAGAUCCCAGCCUCCCAAUUUACAAUCUAAUGAGCUUUCCAGUCAAUUUCAAUGCUCCUC
rnacentral:lncRNA from 1 species